rnacentral:rRNA from 1 species
GAUGAACGCUGGCGGCGUGCUUAACACAUGCAAGUCGAACGGUGAAGGCGGAGCUUGCUCUGCUGGAUCAGUGGCGAACGGGUGAGUAACACGUGAGCAAUCUGCCCCUGACUCUGGGAUAAGCGCUGGAAACGGCGUCUAAUACUGGAUACGAGCUGCGAAGGCAUCUUCAGCAGCUGGAAAGAACUUCGGUCAGGGAUGAGCUCGCGGCCUAUCAGCUUGUUGGUGAGGUAACGGCUCACCAAGGCGUCGACGGGUAGCCGGCCUGAGAGGGUGACCGGCCACACUGGGACUGAGACACGGCCCAGACUCCUACGGGAGGCAGCAGUGGGGAAUAUUCCACAAUGGGCGAAAGCCUGAUGCAGCAACGCCGCGUGAGGGACGACGGCCUUCGGGUUGUAAACCUCUUUUAGCAGGGAAGAAGCGAAAGUGACGGUACCUGCAGAAAAAGCGCCGGCUAACUACGUG